rnacentral:misc_RNA from 1 species
AAGUCGUAACAAGGUCUCCGUUAGUAAACUAGCGGAGGGAUUAUUACCGAGUUAUUACUCUAAACCCUUUAUGAACCUUACUAUUUUAUUGCUCGGCGUACCGCGGGCCGCGGCUUCGGCCCGUCCCGUAGCGCGCUAGAGGACCUAACUCUUUAAUUUAUAGCGUACCUUCUAAUUUAUAAAAUAAAUAAGUUAAAACUUUUAAUAACGGAUCUCUUAGUUCUAGUAU